CGCACCGUAGCUUAAUUGGUAAAGCGCCGGCCUCAUAAGCCGGGUAAUGCGGGUAUGCGCUAACGCGCACGCUAUGCGAACAAGUCCCGCCGGUGCUACCA
rnacentral:tRNA from 1 species